CUUCUUCACCCACUGUCAUGAUCUCCCCAACAACUGUGGGAGGGAGGCAGGGAAAAUGGGGUCUCUUAUUGGAAAGAGGUGAAAACGGAGGUCCAGGGAGGUUCAGUGAUUAGUCCAAAGUUGCACAGCUUCUCUGCCGAGGCGAGCUGAUUUCCUCGUCCAUGGUGCUUUCUGUUGUGGUCCAUAUAUGCAGUUGACUGACACAAAUACGCUCAAAGAAUCCUUCUUCCUUGACAGAUGUCUGUGCCAGUCAGACUCAUAAUAGACAGCAGAAGGGCAGAGAAUAUUCCCCUGGUGGUCCUCUUCUCAUUCAGCCGAUAUCUGAUUUCCUAUGAACCUACCGCGUGUGUGCUUGUCUGGCCCUGUGUGUGGGGCCAAUACUAACUCUUCUCUUUAGGGCUUAUGGCUGUUGGCCCUGCCUUCCUUUCACGCGUGCGCCUUAGAGUGAGAUUCUUGCAGUAGGAUCUUACCUCCAGGGAGGAACUUAACAAGGCAUUAAGUCGAAGUGGCUCUCAUUGGGCCAGGUGACAAGGCUUUGGCGAGGCAGAGGUGUGUAAUGAUCUCUGGAUUCGGGUCCACCAUUCUAGAAGCUGGACCUCAGGCAGGUUCUUUAAAUUCCCUAAGCCUCCAUCUUUUCAUUUACCAAAGGGGAAUAAUAAUAAACACCUUACGGAAUUGUUAUGCUUGGCAAAUAGUAGGAACCCAGCAAAAGUGAGUUUUCUUUUCCCCUGCCCACUGUGGAGGAAGGCUUUCCAGCUCUAGGGCCUGUCCUGCUCACAUGCACCCUGGCCCAGAAGACAGGCAGAUUCCAUUCCCUAAAGGAGUUGGGAGGGAGCUUGGCGCAAUUCCUCUUGAAAGGGAGUGUGAGGCUCCCUUAUCUCUAAAGCACAGCUCUUCCAUGACCCCUAAGCCCACCCUAUGACAGUGCCCUGGUUCUAAAAUGAUCUAGGUUAGGGAGGCAUAGAGAAAAAUCCAACAUAUCAGGUCCUUCCCGGAGCUCUAAGCGUGGCUGUGCUCCAUCACUCAGGGUCAGGAUGGGGAAAGAGGCUGACUCAGCUGCUUCUGCAGCACCUGAGGAGCAGAGAGGUCAGUUUUCUCGAUAUUGGUCAGUUGAAGGGAACUGCCCUUGGGCUCAAGGGAUCCUCCUGCCUGAACCUCCUGAGUAGCUAGGACUACAGGCAGGUGCCACCACACCCAGCUAAUUUUUUAAAUUAUUUUUUUGCAGAUGGGGGUCUCAUCAGGUUGCACAAGCUGAUCUCAAACGCCUGGCCUCAAGUGAUCCUUCUGCUUUGGUCUUCCAAGGUGCUAGGAUUACAGUUACAGAAUCCCUGCUAUUUAGCUGGGCACGUGACUGCCUGGAACAGACCACGAUCCCUGGCUCCAAGGCAGCUACAUCCACGACUAAGUUCUUGCAAUGGCAUGUAAGUAAAAGUGAUAUGGGCAGCUUCUGGGAGGUGUCCUUACAAUGCAAGGGACUUGCUCUUCAUCCUUGACCUCCUUCCUGAUGGCUGGAAAGUGGAUGUGAAGGCUGGACCUGAAGUGGUCCCCUUGGAUCAUGACUUUGGAGAUGAAAGCCUGAGUGGAGCACAGAGAGAGAGGAGCCUGGGUCUCAGACCCUGCAGCCCUGGAUUAUCUACCUCCAGACUUGCAGAGUGAGAAGUGAGUGGACUGGGAGUGACCAACAAUCAGGAACUGUGUUCUGCUCAACUCUGCAAUCCCAGCAAAGGACCUGCCACAGACCUCCGUAUAAAAUUGUCCAAUGGAUGACACAACUGAAAACAGGGAGAUUGUAUGGGUAUGUGGCCUGGGAUGGCAGCAGAUGUACCCACCCCCUGCCUAGCAAAGUCUUCUGGAUGUCUGCUUUGAGGGUGAGCAGCAUCAAUGCCUUUCAGUUCAUCUGGAGACCACAGGAUCAGUAAGAGCUGACUGCAAAGUGGGUAUUGAUCCAAGAUUCCCCUUGGACCUUUGGUUUCUCACUGUCUUCAUCUGUCACCCAGUGGGAGCAACAAAACUUUGCUCAUAAAAAUUCCAAACUCCUUGGAGAGUAGUUUUAUAAAUGUAGGUACCUGAGGCUGCUUCUCUGCCUCCCCCGACAUUCCAUCAGGAACCAUGGAUGCUCUCACGUUCCUGGCUUCCUCCCACCCCCAUUCAUCCAAAAGAGGCUCUAGAGUGAUUCAGUUCUCCCUCAGAGAGCCCUGGCUGGAGCUGGGGCCCUCGGACUCACCCUCCAUCAAAGGGGUUCUCCCCGGGGAUUAUGUGCGUGCUGUCCCUGCCCACGAGGAACUUGAUGCGGUCAUAGAAGGAGUGUAGGUUCUGCUGUGACACAGGGACCUGUGUCUCCUGGAUGAUGUCCAGAGGGUUAGGGGAGCCAAGGCACAGCGGGUUGAUAUGGCACAGGGGCUGGAGGCAGCAGUCAGGGUCCAUGCAGUCCACCAGGCCAUCUGCAGGAGU
rnacentral:lncRNA from 1 species